CUCUCUGGCCAUCUCACCCUGAACAAGCCCAGUCUCGUCUGAUCUUGGAAGCUAAGCAGGGUCGAGCCUGGUUAGCACUUGGGUGGGAGGAGGUGUGGCCGGGCUGCAGGGC
rnacentral:rRNA from 1 species